UACGGAGGGUGCAAGCGUUGUCCGGAAUCGCUGGGCGUAAAGGGCGCGUAGGCGGCCCGGUAAGUAGGGGGUGAAAUCCUGCGGCUUAACCGCAGGGCUGCCUUCUAAACUGUCGGGCUCGAGCACGGUAGAGGCAGAUGGAAUUCCCGGUGUAGCGGUGGAAUGCGUAGAGAUCGGGAAGAACAUCAGUGGCGAAGGCGGUCUGCUGGGCCGUUGCUGACGCUGAGGCGCGACAGCGUGGGGAGCAAACAGG
rnacentral:rRNA from 1 species